GGUUUCCUUAAACUUAGUGCCCAUCUCAGUUGAUCAGAGGGCAUCUAUUUCAGUCUCUCAGAUCACGUGGAAUCUCUUGAUCGGUUCCACAUGGACCAGCUUCUGACACCCUGGCUGCAGAACAGAAGCGGCGGCUGGGAGAGCUGGAAUCCCGUCUCCAACUCUCUGCAGCCGACUCCAUCUGCGCAUCACUCCGAUCUGUAUUACAGUGAUUACUCCGGCGUCUGCAUCUCGUCCUGAGGUCCUGAACUUUGGGAUGGCACCGACCAUCUGUGACUGUCCGACUCAAAACAUCGGUGCCUGGCACAGGAAGCAUCUCAUUCUGUCUCUCCUCACCCCCCUUAUGCAUUUCACCCAUCACCAAGGCCCAUAGAGUCUACCUUGCAGCGUCUCACCAAUUCACCUGUCUCUCUAAGGCCACUGGCACCUCAUGCCAGCCCUACUAAUGGGCUCCUUCCUUCGCCCCUCCUCCAGUCUAGUCAAUAUGUUACCAAAGCAUUAUCCCUCUCCACUGCUCUGCCCUUCAAUCAUCUGUACCACAAAAUGUGACUCAAUAAAUUCAAGCUGCUAUUCCAAACGUGGCCUCAUUUGUCACACCAGCCUCAAGCUUCAUCUCGCACCACUCAGAGUCUGCUCCACACCAAACCCAGCAGGACCAGGGCAAGGCCUUGCAGGCAGGAGGUGCUCAGUAAAGGACCAUGCAA
rnacentral:lncRNA from 1 species